CAUUGAGAGAAUUCAAAAUGAAGUUGUGGGGCCCGCGGCUUCCUUUUUCGGCGGCAACGUGUAAAAGUACUGAGCACCGAAGGUGAGACACAACAGCAAUAAAAGGCAAAACAGAAUGUUGAAGGAAAAGUGAAAAGAGUUGAACAAAACGGAGAAAACGAUUUGAACGUGUUACGGCUUGGGAUAAAUAGUUACGCAGGAUUUUUCGUUUUAAUAACUAAAUCAAGGCCUACUGCGAGCUAAACCAAACCCAAAUCGUAAAAAAAACAAAGCAAAACAAAAAUAAGAAAUGAAAAAAAUACAAAAGUCACACGUAAAUAACUGUUGUUUUGCUUCAUCCUCUUUCUGCUAAGCGGAAGUUGUAAAAAUGCGCUUAUGAAUGAAAAUGCACGCAAUGCAAACACAAACAGAAACGCAAGAGGCCCAACAACAAAUUCAAAACAGAAAAGCAAAUGCAAAUGCAAACUGCAAACAUUCCAAUUGGAGUAAGCGAACUUUUUCGCAAAGGCAAAAAUUUCCACGACGAAUGAACAGGAACACACACGAACAAGAAAACGAUGAUGACGUUGUUGUUGGCAGUAUGUAUGUAUAUAUAUUUAUAURUGUGUGUGUAUUUAGGAACUUCUUUUUAAGCUAUUGAACGAAUUUAGAGCGAAGCACAAGAACGCAAUGAAAACGAAACCACAAACACAACAAUUUAUGAAACGAAAACUUUACUGCUGCUGCUGCUUCCUUUUAUUUAUUUAUUUUUUUUUUUAUGUAAUUUGUUUGGCCUUUUGCGGUGUAUUAUUUAAUCGCACAGAGAGCAAAGCGCGAACACAUACAUUGAUAAUCAAAAUACACAUACACACACAAGUUUGGGGCGUUUCGCAUGUAUAUGUGUGUGUUUUUGUGUGCGUGCGUCUGUUUUGAGCGAAACGCGUGCACAAUCGAAACGAAACGAAACGUCCGGUUUCAAAGCGUCACAAAAACUAAUCAGAAGUGAAAAACACAAAAUGAUGUGGGCCCCAACAAGCCAGCAGCAGGCAGCCGCAGCCGCAGCACCAGCGCACGAGAGAGCUCCGAAUAGAGCAAGAGAGAACGAGCCGAGUCAAGCCGAACCGAUUCGAUGUUAUGUGCAUAAUGGGGCCAAAGCAGCGCAGCCGCCGCUCAAUGAGAUUUGUGGUUAUUGUUGUUGCUCGGCGCUGGCGCCUUCAAUUUUUUUCUUCUUUACAAGGCGAACAAGUUGUGCGUCAGGUCGUGAGAGUACACAGCAGCAGAGAGAGAGAGAGAGAGAGAGAGAGAACGCAAGCGAGCUCGUACAAGAGAGCGAACCUAAGCGCCUGGUAAUUGUAGGUUUUAAUGCUUCAUAAUUGUUGUUGUUGCUGUCUGUAUAUAUGUACAUACAUACAUAUGUAAUAGUGUCUAGGCUUUGCCAUAGACAUAAAUGGCAUCCACAUAACAAUCGCCCCGACCCCUUGAAAUUAAAUGCUACCAUCCACAACAAUUCAAUCCACACACAGAGAGAGAGAGAGAGAGCGCCAGUAAGCGGUUUGUUUUCGUUGCUCUUUUUCUGUUUUGUGUUUUUGUUUUAAAGAGGCACCCGCAUUCCUAACUGUAAACAAGCAAGAAGAAGAAUGCAUGCGCUGCCGCUGCCUGGAAAAACUCGUUUUUCCCGCUGGAAAAAUGUGUGCACACACACAAACACACACGAAGCAUACAACAAAAAAAAAAAGAAAAAAC